UACGUAGGGGGCAAGCGUUGUCCGGAAUCAUUGGGCGUAAAGCGCGCGUAGGCGGCCCGGUAAGUCCGCUGUGAAAGUCAAAGGCUCAACCUUUGAAUGUCAGCGGAUACUGCCGGGCUAGAGUCCGGAGGAGGCGAGUGGAACUCCUGGUGUAGCGGUGGAAUGCGCAGAUAUCAGGAAGAACACCAACGGCGAAGGCAGCUCGCUGGGACGGAACUGACGCUAAGGCGCGAAAGCGUGGGGAGCGAACAGG
rnacentral:rRNA from 1 species